AUCUGGAAGAGGAAGAAAAUGAGCAUUUAACAGCAUUGGACAUGGGAACAUGGAGGAAGGCCUAAACUAGUGUGUCCCUGUCCAACUAGUGCCGGCAUUUGUUUUGGAAUUUUUUCGAUGCCUCUCAUGCCUAUUACUCUUAGGUGCUCCUUCCUCUCCCUUGUGAUU
rnacentral:pre_miRNA from 1 species